rnacentral:rRNA from 1 species
AUUGAACGCUAGCGGGAUGCCUUACACAUGCAAGUCGAACGGCAGCACGGACUUCGGUCUGGUGGCGAGUGGCGAACGGGUGAGUAAUGUAUCGGAACGUGCCCAGUAGCGGGGGAUAACUACUCGAAAGAGUAGCUAAUACCGCAUACGCCCUACGGGGGAAAGGGGGGGAUCGCAAGACCUCUCACUAUUGGAGCGGCCGAUAUCGGAUUAGCUAGUGGGUGGGGGAAAGGCCCACCAAGGCGACGAUCCGUAGCUGGUUUGAGAGGACGACCAGCCACACUGGGACUGAGACACGGCCCAGACUCCUACGGGAGGCAGCAGGGGGGAAUUUUGGACAAUGGGGGCAACCCUGAUCCAGCCAUCCCGCGUGUGCGAUGAAGGCCUUCGGGUUGUAAAGCACUUUUGGCAGGAAAGAAAUCGCAUGGGUUAAUACCCUGUGUGGAUGACGGUACCUGCAGAAUAAGCACCGGCUAACUACGUGCCAGCAGCCGCCGUAA